CAAAAACUCAACUAUCGUAGGUGGGGCAUAAAAAUUAUUCUAGCUAGCACUAAAACAUUACCUUGGAAUUUGAACAUUUAGUUGGUUAACAGGGAUGUAUCAUAUUCAAUUUUUGAUAUCUAGCCAUAAACAAACAUGCAUAUUAAUGGCAAAGAUAGGAAAAGAGAUGUUUAUAUGCAAAAGGCAAGAACUCUUGUUUCAUUUAUAGUUGUU
rnacentral:lncRNA from 1 species